GAUGAACGCUGGCGGCGUGCCUAACACAUGCAAGUCGAGCGAACCCUUCGGGGUGAGCGGCGGACGGGUGAGUAACGCGUGGGUAACCUGCCCUAUACACACGGAUAACGUACCGAAAGGUACGCUAAUACGGGAUAAAGUUGUUGGAUGGCAUCUUCUAACAAUCAAAGCUCCGGCGGUAUAGGAUGGACCCGCGUCUGAUUAGCUAGUUGGUGAGGUAAUGGCUCACCAAGGCGACGUUCAGUAGCCGACCUGAGAGGGUGAUCGGCCACACUGGAACUGAGACACGGUCCAGACUCCUACGGGAGGCAGCAGUGGGGAAUAUUGCACAAUGGGCGAAAGCCUGAUGCAGCAACGCCGCGUGAGCGAUGAGGGUCUUCGGAUCGUAAAGCUCUGUCCUCAAGGAAGAUAAUGACGGUACUUGAGGAGGAAGCCCCGGCUAACUACGUGCCAGCCGCCGCGGUAA
rnacentral:rRNA from 1 species